CCUACGGGGGGCUGCAGUGGGGAAUAUUGGACAAUGGGCGCAAGCCUGAUCCAGCCAUACCGCGUGAGUGAAGAAGGCCCUCGGGUUGUAAAGCUCUUUUGUUGGGAAAGAAAUCCUGUUGGUUAAUACCUGGCAGGGAUGACGGUACCCAAAGAAUAAGCACCGGCUAACUUCGUGCCAGCAGCCGCGGUAAUACGAAGGGUGCAAGCGUUACUCGGAAUUACUGGGCGUAAAGCGUGCGUAGGUGGUUGUUUAAGUCUGUCGUGAAAGCCCUGGGCUCAACCUGGGAAUUGCGAUGGAUACUGGGCGACUAGAAUGUGGUAGAGGGUGGCGGAAUUCCCGGUGUAGCAGUGAAAUGCGUAGAGAUCGGGAGGAACAUCCGUGGCGAAGGCGGCCACCUGGACCAACAUUGACACUGAGGCACGAAAGCGUGGGGAGCAAACAGGAUUAGAUACCCCUGUAGUC
rnacentral:rRNA from 1 species